AAAUGGCGGCCUAGGGACCGAAUGAAGACAGGAUGCGUUGCCCUUGUUUUGUGUUUAAACAUCAGUGUUGAUCCACCUGAUGUAAUAAAGAUAUCUCCUUGUGCUCGAAUGGAGUGUUGGGUUGAUCCAUUUUCGAUGGCACCUCAAAAAGCACUUGAGACAAUUGGGAGAACUUUGAACCAACAAUAUGAGAGGUGGCAACCUAGGGCUAAAUAUAAGAUUUCCUUGGAUCCUACUGUUGAUGAAAUCAAGAAGCUUUGCACAACUUGUCGAAAGUAUGCUAAGUCGGAACGAGUUCUAUUCCAUUAUAAUGGACAUGGUGUUCCUAAACCUACAGCCAAUGGUGAAAUUUGGCUAUUUAAUAAGAGUUAUACGCAGUAUAUUCCUUUGCCAAUCAGUGACCUGGAUUCCUGGUUGAAGACACCAUCGAUCUAUGUGUUUGACUGCUCUGCUGCUGGGAUGAUUGUUAAUGCCUUCAUAGAGCUUCAGGACUGGACUGCUUCUGGUUCUUCUGCAACUUCUACAAGGGAUUGUAUUCUGCUUGCUGCUUGUGAAGCUCACGAGACUCUUCCACAGAGUUCUGAGUUUCCAGCCGAUGUGUUCACUUCCUGCCUCACAACACCCAUCAAAAUGGCGUUGAGAUGGUUUUGCACUCGUUCGUUGCUUCAUGAGUCGCUUGAUUACUCUCUGAUUGAUAGAAUUCCUGGACGGCAAACUGAUAGGAAGACACUUCUUGGCGAACUGAAUUGGAUUUUUACUGCAGUUACUGAUACAAUUGCCUGGAAUGUUCUACCACAUGAUCUAUUUCAGAGACUGUUCAGGCAAGAUCUGCUAGUCGCUAGUUUGUUCAGAAACUUCUUACUUGCUGAAAGAAUCAUGCGCUCUGCAAAUUGUUCACCAAUUUCAUACCCGAUGCUACCACCUACUCAUCAGCAUCAUAUGUGGGA
rnacentral:misc_RNA from 1 species